CAUGGGUCCCCCGUUCCUUCCUCAGAGCCUCUAUACUGGCUCCUCUCUCUACCUGGAAAGAUUUCCGCAUGGCAGGCUCCUUCUUUGUUCACGUCUCUUCCUGACCAACUGGACCUAGGUGGGGCUUUAUGACUGGUUUUAAAACACGGGCUGUGAGCCCAAGGAGCACGUGUUACUUCAUGCCCAAGGUGGUAAAUGACCCUCCAGCUCUCUCUGGGCUUAUGUGUUGACAUGGUGGCAUCAUAACAAUUUGUAGGACCUGCCAUCAGCUGAAGCCCACGAGUGACUAUGAGAAGCAGAGCCCCCUGAAAACCCAAGCUGAACACCUAGCGUGAGCAAAAAAUGUAUUUUCAUUGUAUUAAACCGCUGCAGUUCUGUGGUUAAUUUGUGGCCCCAGCAUAACCUAUCCUACUCUGACUAAUAUGACCCAUUUGAAUGGAGUAGAACCUAUUAUUAUCUCCCAUUACAAGCAAAAAAAAAAAAAAAAAAAAAAAAAAAAAAACCCUGAGGCUCAAAAGGUAAUGUUUUCCCUAAGAUCACACAGCUAGUAAGCAGAACUGAGAUUUGAACCCAGGUAGUGUGGCUCCUAAGACUGUAUUCUAACACCCAUGAUCAACUGCACCCAGAACACAGAGGGAUGCACUUAAACAUAACUAGUAGGUUACACCAAGGGAAGAAUGGUGGAAAUUACCAGCCCAAGGAAGUUGUUUUGGGGCAGUACACAGCAGGGGCUCAAUAAAUGCUAAAUGAAUGAGUGGAUCUUUUUAAGGAGUGGUGUAUUCAAUUUCCGUGGCUGGGCAACAAAGUACCACACAUGUAGGGGCUUACGAUAUCACCCAUUGAUUAUCUCCCAGCUUCUGUGGGUCAGGAGUCCGGAGAGGCCUAACUGGAUCUUCUGUUUUGUAUCAUAAAGCUACGAAGAAGGUAGCCUCUGGAGCUCGGGAUCCUCAGGUUGGAAGAAUCUAGUUCCUUGUCAUUUCACAGCUAAGCUCCCUUGUUCUUGCUGGUUGUCAGCCAGGGCUGCCCUCAGCUUCUAGAAGCCCCAUGCCAUGUGGCCUUCUCACAGGCCCUCCCCCAACAUGGCAAAACAUUUCUUCAAGACCAGCAAUGGGGAGAGUUUCUCCGGUCAGCUCCUCUGGUGUCUUAUAUAAUGUCCUGUAAUCAAGGCAGUAGCAGCAUCUUUACCAUAAAAGGUCACCUGAUCAAGGCUUGCCUUGUACAUCCCCUCAUAUGCCAGGUCCCGCGCAUGCUCCGGGGGUGGGGGUGGCACAGGGUGUUUUUCUCAGGUGGUGGAACACGCCAGGCUGAUUUGGAAUUCUGCCCACCACAAGCAGCGAACAAAGAGAAACUGUUAGAUGCUUUUUGGUCAGCCAGAUUCAUUGGCAGCUGUGGGAAAACGCAGAUUUAAUAGGUUAUAUAAAUGUAACCUCGAGGAAGAAGAAGGGAGGCCUGAGAGAGCACACAGAUGACACCUGCCCAUGCGUUAGCAACAUGGCAAUGUUGUGUGGGCUACUUGGGGUGAAUGGAGUUGGUGAUUUCAAGCUAUGAAACACUCAUCUUUAAAUCAAUUUUAUAGAGGAAUAAUGUAUGCAUAAUAAACAGCAUCUAUUUCAGGUGUGCAUUUUGCUAAGCUUUGACAAUUGUUCUGAAAGUACUGCUACCAAAACAGAGCAAAGCGUUUUGCAUUACUCCCAAAAGACCCCGUCAUACCCCUUUGCCAUCCGUACUUCUCUCCACACCCCCAGUUCCCACCCCAGGAAGCCCGUCCCACACCCCUUUCACUCUCCUUUUCAUUGUAGAAAGGCAGUAGCGGGGAGCGGUUGAAGGCCCCAUAGCCGAGCCAGGAGGCUUGGUUUGAGUCCUCCCUUGAACUCUUCCUGGCUGUGUGACCUUGACCAGCUGACCAAUUUCUCUCUGCUUCUGUUUUAUUAUCUCAGCAUAGGAUAGUCCCUCUCUCAAAAGAGUCGCUGUGAGAACCAAUUUGGUUGAUAUAGGAGAAGCAUAAAUAGUGCUUGGCCCAUCACGAGCGCUCAAUACAUGUUUACCGUGUUUCGUUCCUUGUGAUCGUCAGCCUGGCUUCCUUCAGUUAAAGCGCUGCUUGUAAAGACGGCUAAUGGAAGCUCCUCAUGCGCAUUCAAGUGUGUGCGUGCCUCUGCCCAGGGCACGCUUCCCCCGAGUAUCUGUGCUCUAGCUUCCUCCUGUCCUCUUCCUCUUUUCUCCAAUCUCAACCUCUCCCUGAGAACCCCGACCACCUUAGCUGACUCCACACACUGCCCCACCCCGCUUCCCCCCUGCUGUGCUUUUUAAAAAUUGAGGUCUAGUUGCUGUAUACUGCUGUGUUAGGUUCUAGUACACAGCAAAGUGACUCACGUGCACAUGUGCGUGUAUCUUUUUCAGCUGCUUUUCCCUGCUCGGUUAUUACAAGAUACUGAAGACGGUUCCCUGUGCGACACAGGAAGUCCUUGUUGUUCAUCUGUUUUUUACAUCGUAGCUGGUUCUUGCUAAUCCCUGAUUUAUCCCUCCCUUUCCCCUUUGGUAACCGUGAGUUUGUUUUCUAUGUCUGAGAGUCUGUUUCUGUUGCAAACGUAAGUUCAUUCGUGUUCUAUUUGAGAUUCCACGCAUAAGUUACCAUUUGUCUUUCUGACUUACUUCACUGAGGAUGGUAACAGCAAGGUCCGCCCAUGUUGCUGCAAAUGGCAUUAUGUCAUUCUUUUUAUGGCUGUGUAACAUUCCAAUGUAAAUAUUUACCACAUCCUUUAUCCAUUCCUCUGUGGAUGGACGUUUAAGUUGUUUCCAUGUUUCAGCUGCUGUAAAUAGGGUUGCCAUGAACCCUGGGGUGCAUGUAUCUUUGCAAAUUAGAGUUUCCUCUGGCUGUAUGGCCAGGAGUGGGAUGGCUGGGUCAUACGGUAGUUCUAUUUUUACUUUUUUGAGGAACAUCCAUACUGUUCUCCAUAGUGGCUACACCAGUUUGCAUUCCCAUCAACAGUGUAGGAGGAUGCCCUUUUCUUUCUUUCUUUCUUUCUUUCUUUCUUUCUUUCAAAAUCAUCAUUUUAGAAUUAAUUUCUUUUUUUUGCUUUUUAGGGCCGCACCCCUGGC
rnacentral:lncRNA from 1 species